CAUCCGAGUUUCUACAAUAAGCGGUCUCCAUCCGAGCUUCUACAAUAAGCGAUCUUCAUCCAGACUUCCACGGCAACCGGUCUCCAUCCGAGCUUCUAUAGUAAGCUGCCUCCUUCCGGACUCCUAGAAGAAUCGGACUCCGUCCGAACUUCUACAACAGAAUUGGAUUUCAGACGAACUUCUACAACGGACGGGCUCCAUCUCAGUUGCAACUGAGUAGUGCUGGAUGCCAAGGAAGGAGUUUGAAUCUUCUAUGGUCUCCACUAUUAUGACCUCCCAGUGAUCAGCCCAUGUGGUGGUGGUCAUGGACCACAAGACAAGAAAGAAGCCAUUGCAUGGUCCUUGUUGGGAUAUAUCGACUGACCCCCGUACGCCGACUUAUCCUCGGACCGGUCCGACCGACGUCAGACUCUACCCACCGGAC
rnacentral:lncRNA from 1 species